CCCUAUGGGGUGCAGCAUGAUAAUCAGCUUCUUUCUUUACAGUUUUGUCAGGUAAUAUGAAUCAUCAUCCCUGCAUAAGUAUAGACGCAUAGGAAACCAAUUUUAUUCCCGAAAUUUGCUAAAAAUUAAUUUAUUUUAUAAAAUAUUGUUAAUCAGCUGGUCAGUUCAGUAUUGGUAUAUGCCGGAGAGUGCCUUGGGGCAGAUUGUUCCGGGCGAGUGAUGAGAGGUGAGGGAGAUGGAUAGCCAGGACAUAUUGAUCCGGGAGAGGCUGGAAAAAGACUUUGAUGCUCUCCCGAUGCCUUCUGAGGAGGAGAUGUUUGCCCGGAUCAUGGCAGCGAUGGAAGCGGAAGACGCGGCGGAGCAGUCAGUCCGGAAGCGGGGGAAGGGAUAUUUCCGCUAUCUUGCUGCGGGACUUGCCUUGCUCAUUCUGGCGGGGGGGC
rnacentral:rRNA from 1 species